rnacentral:rRNA from 19 species
AAUCAAGUGCCUUAAGGGUGUUCGGUGGAUGCCUUGGCGCUGAGAGGCGAUGAAGGACGUGCUACGCUGCGAUAAGCCGUGGGGAGCUGCGAAGAAGCUUUGAUCCAUGGAUUUCCGAAUGGGGAAACCCACCUUCGAUAGCCGGAACUCCAAGACCUCAGUCGAAAGACUGUGGUGUGGGGUUCGAUCAGAAAUGAGAGAUGCCUAGGCCUUUAGAUUUCGAUCGAAGAGGUUUUGGAUUUCCGGUUAUCAAGAGAAGGUAUGAGACUUCUGAAUACAUAGGAGGUUUCAAGCAAACCCAGGGAACUGAAACAUCUAAGUACCUGGAGGAAAGGACAUCAACAGAGACUCCGUUAGUAGUGGCGAGCGAACGCGGACCAGGCC